rnacentral:tRNA from 1 species
UAAUAAAUAGUUAUCAGCUGGUAGAGUCAGAGGACUGAAAAUCCUCGUGUCGGUGGUUCGAUUCCGCCUUUGGGCACCA